rnacentral:rRNA from 1 species
CCUACGGGAGGCAGCAGUAAGGAAUAUUGGUCAAUGGGCGCAAGCCUGAACCAGCCAUGCCGCGUGCAGGAAGACGGCCCUAUGGGUUGUAAACUGCUUUUGAACAAGAGAAAACCUCGGUACGUGUACCGAGCUGAUAGUAUUGUUAGAAUAAGCAUCGGCUAACUUCGUGCCAGCAGCCGCGGUAAGACGAAGGAUGCAAGCGUUAUCCGGAUUCAUUGGGUUUAAAGGGUGCGUAGGCGGCCUGAUAAGUCAGUGGUGAAAUCUCUCAGCUUAACUGAGAAACUGCCAUUGAUACUGUCGGGCUUGAGUACAGAUGAUGUGGGCGGAAUAUGACAUGUAGUGGUGAAAUACUUAGAUAUGUCAUAGAACACCGAUUGCGAAGGCAGCUCACAAAACUGUAACUGACGCUGAGGCACGAAAGUGCGGGGAUCAAACAGGAUUAGAUACCCUGGUAGUCCGCACCGUAAACGAUGAUUACUCGUUGUUGGNAUAUGACGUCGAGCGACCGAACGACGAAAGAACGAGUAAGUUAAAGUUACCUACCGUUACGGGUUAGGUACGGCCGGCCGACGGUACGGAACGACGAAGAAGUUAGUUAGGACGGNGAGAGAGCGACGACGGACGACGACGGAGGAGGAG